GUCUUUGACACAAGGGGAAGAUGUGUUACCAGCAGCCACAGCUGCAUUGCAACCACAGCCAGCAGCAUGGGGCUCGCAGUCCCCCUGUGCUCUAGCAGCACUCAGCCAGCUUUGCUGGCCUUCCCUUUCUGAGGCCACGCAUAGAUCUGCCAGCAAAAAAAUCAUCUUCAGCAUCCUUCCCACAGUCCUGAGGCAUGGCCUGCCUGCAGAGAGGCAGCAUGACCAGCCCAGCACCCUGCCCUGUGCUGCUGGGGGGACAUGGCCUUCAUUUGGGGUAGCAUCCCCCAGGGCAUGCACAGAGACCCUUCCUCUUAGCUACAUCGUGAGCAUCCCAGCAUUCGCAGCAGGACGGGCUGAUGGACAGUAACACGAGCUGGUACAAGCUGGGAACGGACACCGUCCCCUUUGAACACUGCCCUUGUGGAGGGGCUAAUGCUGCAGUCACAGCAACUGGGGAACAGCCAGCACAACCAGUGGCUCCUGUUUCCCCAAGAGGACCAAGUUCAUCCUUGGCAGGUGAAGAGGGGAUCCUGGCUGUGCCCUGGGCUCAGCCCUGUUCUGCUGUGGGAAGUUUCCCAGACACCUUCACGUGUGUGUUUGCAGUUAGUCUCUGACUCUGGCUCCUCAUUUUGCACAGUCGGCCUUUUCAGUGGUCCUCUGCCCCCAGCAUCACGUGCUGUGGCUAUAUCAGUGAGAAAAGCCAGCUAGGGACCCUUCUCUAGCCCCAAGGCCCAGUAGCAUGGCUGUGGCUAUACAGCUAAGGCCCUCUCCUGCCCAAGGCACACAGCUACAUCUGAGUUGCCUGGUGAGAGCAGCCCUUAGUCCAUGUUAUCUCCCAGUGCCCAGCCACUGCAUGGGAGAGAGCAACUGCCCCGGCAAAGCCGUGCUGAGGCAUGCUGCCCAUGAAGGCGCUGGGUGACCAGGACAGCGCUCUGGCCUGUUAUCGGUGCAGGUGGCAUCCAUGGCGGCGGAUGCAUUUAACAAGACCCUUUGGCAUCACGGCCACUCUGGAGGUGGGCAGGCAGGAGGCAGGAGUGCUGACGCAGGGGCUCGUCUUGCACCGCACAGAACCAGUGUCCCGUUGGGUGCUGGGAAUGCCCUCAGGGGCCUCAGCACUGGUCUCUGCCCCGCUCGGCACACUGGGGUGAACCACCUCCAUCUGCAGAGUAGUGCACUGCCACCCCCACAAACACUGACAGUUUGCCCCAAGCUGUUUCUGCUCCAACAAGAAGCAGGAGUUUGCUGCAGUCUAAUUUCUAGCCUGGUUAUGGGCCAAAUGAUAUUCCUGUUCUUGUAUCAACAUUGUCUUUUAGCUGAAAUAGCUUUUAAUGUAUCCACAGGGCCUGGGGACCCACCGCUCACCUCUCCUGGAGGGAAGGCUCAGCCUCUCAGUUCGUUUCAUGGCUACCUGCUCCCUGCUUCCCCAGAGGUGUAGACGAACAGUUUGACCAGUGUGCUUUUGCCAAUCCCAGCCACUCCCACAGUCAUGGAGAUCCGAGGGGGGAUGCUGACCUUGGAGAGAGCAUGACCUCAGACCUGCCUCAUCGCUAUGCACUUUUCCUGGCAAUCACCGGACUGGGUCGGACCCUGAUUACCCUCACCGGACCUGAUCCCAACCUGCAGAUUGACUUCCCAGCCCGACCUUGUACCUGCCUCCUCGCCGUGGACUUACCUGAUGAUGCCGACUUCUGGUUGAACCUGGCUGCCAGCUCGGGGGCUGUCCUGCUCACCUCGCUCAGGCUGCAGAAUAGUCUCAGAGGGUGCAUGGCCCACCUGAGGUCCUGCUGCAUCUCUGAUAAUGGCACUGCUGCACUGGGGUGGCAGUAGAGGAUUCAUCCCAAUUCUGUCAGACUGUCUGAGCGAAUUCCCUGGGACAUGCCGUCUUCCCACAGUAGGUAAGGUGUCUGUGCUGCAUUCCCCUGGAGAUGCCUCUUUGUCUCCUGUGACUCACACAAGCCUAGAUGCUGGCUUAACCCUUGGCCACCACUCUGCUCUCCCCACGAGGGGCAUGAGCCAUUGCCCCCAGUGUGGCCAUUGAUGAAUGCCAGGGCUGCCCCUAGAGGUUCACUGAGACCCUGGAGGAAGGUCUCUUAGACUUGGCACGCAGCUCUCGUCACCCCACCCAGCCAUGUCCUUCCCCAGCCAAGGCUGGAGGAGGCCCUAGAACAACCCCAUCACUCAUGCAGGGCUCCUGACCAUGACUGAGCUGCCGAACACAACCUGGCUCUGUGCACAUCUCAGGGGUGCUCCAGCGAGCACCCAUAACCAGGGAACAUGCCCAUGGACACCCUGUGUUGGACCCAAAUAUGGCCUGCCUACCAUAGACAGUGAUGUGGAGGUAGAGCUGGGAAUUGGUGGUCUCGAUGAAGGUCUGCAGGGACUGUGAGGCGUAGCUGCCCUUGCCAGCCAGGACAUCCACCACAGCCCUCACCUGCUCCGGCACGGAGCUCACCUCCUGCACACGG